GUUCCCGGGCCUUGUACACACCGCCCGUCACACCAUGGGAGUGGGUUGCAAAAGAAGUAGGUAGCUUAACCUUCGGGAGGGCGCUUACCACUUUGUGAUUCAUGACUGGGGUGAAGUCGUAACAAGGUAACCGUAGGGGAACCUGCGGUUGGAUCACCUCCUUAUCUUAAAGAAGC
rnacentral:rRNA from 1 species